rnacentral:ncRNA from 1 species
CCUAACGAUCCCUAAAUAGCCUCAGGUGCGUGAGGAUUGGGGUGACAGACAAGUUACCUCCGGGACAACUGGCUUGUGGCUGCUAAGAGAUCAAAUCAACGCAGCUUUUUGAUUCUUCGAUGUCGGCUCUUCCUAUCCUAGUGAUGUACAAGUUGCUAAGGGUCGGAUUGUUCACCCGUAUUAGGGAUCGUGAGCUGGGUUUAGACCGUCGUGAGCCAGGUUUGUUUUAUCCUACUGGAUAUAGCAUCAUGAUAGUAGAUUGAUUUAGUACGAGAGGAACUGUUGAUUAUGGCCUCUGGUUAGCGAUUAUCGGAAACGGUAUGUCGCGCAGCUACGCCGUCUGGGAUAAUGGCUGAAAGCCUCUUAAGCCAGAAGCCCAUCUAGAAAGUGAUGCACGUGAUGUUGGACCGAUACGAAUAAUCAUACUCAAAAGGUCCGCUUCAUAGGUAACCCAAUGUAGAAGACAUUGUGUGAACGAAGGUACUGUAAGCAGUGGAGUGGCAUUACGUCCACGACCUGUUGAGGUUCAGCUUCGCUUCUAGGUUUCC